rnacentral:lncRNA from 12 species
CACAAUUUUCUACUUAUAAUCAUAGCUUGUUGUAAUCCACUAUCCUAGAUGUAUUAGAAAUGGUUUAUCCUAAGACCCCUGUAAAUUUCCCAUGGUUUAACCCUUGCCCUUUGUUUUUUAUCCUAUUGGCAGAAUGCCAAUCCUUCCCCCACCCCUCUCCUAGAAAAGAUCCCUAUCCCAUAACUUCGCCCUCUUUUGCUCCCGGAUGCCAUCAUGAAAUAAACCUCUAAUCCCCAGGAAGGGCAAAGAGCCUCUUUUGUAAUCUUUUACUCUGUUCUUUCAGGGGCCAGGCUGCUUCUCAGUAACUGACCUAGUCUGUGGCCAGGAAGUAGCCUCAGCGACCCUGCAAUAGCUAACCCUUUUAUAUGACUUGAUUAUUUGAUGAAGAUAUUCAUAACAAGAGCAGACAGGAGCAGCAGAAGCCAGGGCAGGGGAGACUGAGACGGUGGCAGAGAGGUGUCUGGGCUGAAGGGGAGCCUGAGAAAAGGGAAGGAGAGGGCUUUCCCUCAGCCCUUGCUUCUCUUCUGUUUCUCAAAACAUGACCAAGGAAUCUCAUGUUGCCAGAAAUGGGCCAAAUAUUCCGUUUGCUGCAAUUUCCCCAGUUGUGGCUGCUUGGCCAUGACAGGGAACAAGGUCUACAAAGGGAAAGGGAGAAAAGCAGAACCCAAACUGCUCAUCUUUGGAGUGGCAAUUCCUCCCGUUCCUUCCUGUUGGUGAGGACACUUUGCCUCACAGAAUGACAGGACAGGCAGGGGGGAAGGGGCCUGUGGACAGGAGCUCUUGCAGCAGUGGGUCCAAUGGGUCACACGGAAGGGGUGGCCCACAGGGCUGUGCAAAGGGCCUCCAGGUGAGCCCCCCUCCCCCCAGGUGUGGUGCAGUUAACGUGUGACACAGUGUCAGUGUGGUGAUGUGACAAUGCGGUGAUGUGACAUCACCAUGAUGUAACAAUGGCCCAUGUCUAUAUUUAGCCAGGAGACCUGUUGUUGUGUCUCUGGAGCAAGAGUCAGCGUGGGAUCACAACACCAUGAGAGCCCCAGAAGACCACAGCUGGGAGGAGAUAGCAGGAAAAUGGACCCCGAACUGCUGAACCUCCCACUUGCAGUCAAGAUCCCUGUGGCACCUGGAACCAAGCCUGUCUUCUCCAGGGGAAAGCUGGGUGAAAAUCUUGUCAGGCCAUAUCCUUAUUUCAAUCUGGAUGAUCCCUACAGCCACCACCUCAGCCCAGCAUACAACUGCCUGCAUGACCCCCACCUGCGGGACUACCACAAGCGCAAGGACGUCCUACAGUUGCUGAAGAGACAGGGAGUCAUCACCAGUGACAACAAGGUGGUUUGCACUCUGAAGGAGUUCAACGAGUACAGGAACUACCUGACCAGGCUCAAGCUGCAGUCAGAGCAAUUCUUAAAGCAGCAAGAGGAAGGGCUUCUGCCACUUCUGGCCAAAUUAAAGGAUGGUCCCAAACUGCCAGGAACCAGUGACACUUCCUGCCGGCGGAAGCGGCGGCUGCAGCCUCAGAAACCUACUUGCCCAUGUCCACAGAAGAGCAAAGAGACCCCUCUGAAAUCAGGGAGAUUCAGAAAAGUGAAAAUAGCUUCAGACGAGGGCCAAACCUACUCCAGAGCUAAGCUGGGCACUGCUGCUGACUCCCAGAGGAAGCGGCACAACACUGCUCACAGCCUCUUUAAAGCUGUCCUUAGGCAGCUGACCGCAGCAGAAGCCCAGAAGCUCCAAGAGCUGGUUGAGAUCAUUGUCUACAAAGUGUUUGUGAGGCUCAAGGUUCCUCGGAACCAGCGCAUCAACUUUUUAAGGAAUGCUGCCCAGGGGAUCAGAGGAAGCAUUUUCAGCAGCUGCAGGAGAACACCUCUAGACCGCCGCCAGAAAAUAGAAAUGGUGGCCAAAGAGCUUUUAGCAAUGGUGUUGGAGGGCUUGGGGUACUGUCUGGAGCCCAAAGCUUCUAAGCCAAGGAGGGCAGUCAGGUGGAAGGAGCAGCCUGUUGAUGGAAGAGCCACCCUAGUGGACAAAUCCGAGGAAGAUGAAGCAGCCUCCUCAGACAGCGCACAUUUACACGCCUGUCUUGACAAACUCACCAGACAAGUUGUUAAGAAUGUUCGCUGCCUCUUGAAAUCCAUGGUAGCUUCUCAGUUUGAAGGAGACUCAAGAUGCGAGCACACCAAAAUCCUGGAGCUUCCCAAGGAUAAGGUUUCCAACAUACAGAUGCAGCCAGGAAUCUCAGGAGCAUGUGAAGGACAGAGCCAGGAAGCAAGCACAGGAGUAAAGCUGCCCCAAAAGCCGAAAAUUAGGGGAAUGCAGAAUAGGGAGAGUAGCUUUGGACAAGGGCCAAACUUACUCCAGAGCUGCGCUGGGCCAGGAGGAUGCCAGCAUUGCUGCUGGCUCCCGGAGGAGGCCAGAUGGCACUGCCAGUGGCCUGUUGAAUGCUGUGUGUGAGCAACUAACUGCAGCAGAAGCCACGAUGCUUGAAGAGCUGGUUGAGAUAGUGGUGCACAGAGUGUUGGAGAGGCUGGAGAUUCCUGAGAAUCAGCAUGCCAGCUUUUUACAGAGGCCUGGCCGGGGAAUCAGAGGAGAACUUUUAGGCGGCUGCAUGAGAGAAGAACCUUUGGAUACUUCUCUGGAUCACCGUCAGAAAAUGGAAGCGCUGGCGAAAGAGCGUGCAGCAACAGUGUUGGAGAUCUUGGAGGAUCACCUGGCAUCCAGCACAUCCAAAGCUGCUAAGACAGGGGUGGCAGUCAGGUGGGAGGAGCUGCCUCUUCCUGGAAGAACCACCCAAGCAGACAAAUCCAAGGACACUGAAACAGCCACUGCAGAUAGAGCACUUGCACAGACUUCCCUUGACACGCUCACCAGAGAAGUUGUUGAGAAUGUUCACUGCACCUUGGCAUCUUUUGUAACUUCUGAGUUUGAGCAAGACACUAGCUGUGAUUACACUGAAAUCCUGGAGCUCCCUGGGGGAAAUGUCUCCAACAGACAACUGCAGCUACCCCAGACACUUCCAAGGCAGGGUAUGGAAGCAGGACAAGGAUUCCCCAGAGCAUCUGAACAGCAGAGCCUGAAAGCAAGGUUGCCUGCCCCUGCAGAAAGGGCUGGGUAUGCCAAAAUCAUGGAGCCUGACUACUGUGCAAUGGUGAAGGAGCACUUGGAAAGAAAAAUGAACCUAGAGUCAACUGCCUUAGCCAACACUUUGGAUGUAAGGACCAUGACAGAUCAGAUUGCUGACUCAGUAUUAGAGCAGAUCAAUCAACCUGUGCCUGCACCAGCCCCCGAAGAGAAUUUUCAAGGGGCUGUCGCAACCCCAGCCACAUCCCAAGGCAGAAUGGAGAACUGUGCUGCUGAGGAUGCUCUCCCUCCUGCGGACCCAUAGCCUUCCCAACAGACCAUCCCUUUAGCCCAGGCCAGAGCAUGGCACAGAGCAGAGUGCCCAAAGCUCACCUGAGGCAAGUGAGGUGCCUGACUGGAGAGCUGAAGAGCCCUCGGACAGCACACACAGACCACAUCCUUGUGCUGGUGAUAAAGACUUUAUUUCCAAGGCCUUGUUUGUGCUUUCUUCAAGCCAGACCAUACUGUCUCUGGGCAUUUUCCCUACUGCAACCUGUACAAUCUUC